rnacentral:rRNA from 1 species
CACGUGGAUAACCUACCCUGAAGCGGGGCAUAAUCUCGGAAAACUGAGGAUAAUACCCCAUAGGUCUUCGAUACUGGAAUGUUCCUAGGCUGAAAGCUACGGCGCUUCAGGAUGGGUCUGCGGCCUAUCAGGUUGUAGUGAGUGUAAUGGACUCACUAGCCGACGACGGGUACGGGCUGUGGGAGCAGUUGCCUGGAGAUGGACUCUGAGACACGAGUCCAGGCCCUACGGGGCGCAGCAGGCGCGAAAACUUCGCAAUGCGCGGAAGCGCGACGAGGGGAUUCCAAGUGCAUGCACUCUGUGUAUGCUGUUUACUAGUCUAAAACGCUAGUAGAGUAAGGGCUGGGUAAGACUGGUGCCAGCCGCCGCGGUAAUACCAGCGGCCCUAGUGGUGAUCGUUAUUAUUGGGCCUAAAGCGUCCGUAGCCGGUCCGGUAAAUCUCUGGGUAAAUCGUUGGGCUUAACUCAACGAAUUCUGGGGAGACUGCCGGACUUGGGACCGGGAGAGGU